UCCCUGGUAGCUUGGACGGUAAAGCGUCUGCCUACAAUGCGGGAGACCCGGGUUCGAUCCCUGGGUCGGGAA
rnacentral:tRNA from 1 species